AGCUUUGAUUGUCCAAACGCAAUUCUUGUUUAUCAAUUAAUCUCCAAGAACUGUGUGUGGACAUCAAUGCU
rnacentral:pre_miRNA from 1 species